rnacentral:rRNA from 1 species
UAACGAAUAUUGGGCAAUGGGCGAAAGCCUGACCCAGCAAUGCCGCGUGCAGGACGAAGUCCUUCGGGAUGUAAACUGCUGUCAGGGGUCCGCAAGCGCAGGGGUCCAACAGGCCCUGGAGUUGAGCAGCCCCAGAGGAAGCCUCGCCUAACUCUGUGCCAGCAGUCGCGGUAAGACAGAGGAGGCAAGAGUUGUUCGGAAUCACUGGGCUUAAAGCGCGUGUAGGCGGCUUAGAAGGUGUCGUGUGAAAUCCCGCGGCUCAACCGAGGAACUGCACGGCAAACUAGUUGGCUUGAGUGCGGUAGAGGUGCCUGGAACUCUAGGUGGAGCGGUGAAAUGCGUAGAUAUCUAGAGGAACGCCAGAAGCGAAAGCGGGGCACUGGGCCGAUUCUGACGCUGAGACGCGAAAGCGUGGGGAGCAAACAGGAUUAGAUUCCCCAGUAGUA